GAUGAACGCUGGCGGCGUGCCUAAUACAUGCAAGUCGAGCGAACGGACGAGAAGCUUGCUUCUCUGAUGUUAGCGGCGGACGGGUGAGUAACACGUGGAUAACCUACCUAUAAGACUGGGAUAACUUCGGGAAACCGGAGCUAAUACCGGAUAAUAUUUUGAACCGCAUGGUUCAAAAGUGAAAGACGGUCUUGCUGUCACUUAUAGAUGGAUCCGCGCUGCAUUAGCUAGUUGGUAAGGUAACGGCCUACCAAGGCAACGAUGCAUAGCCGACCUGAGAGGGUGAUCGGCCACACUGGAACUGAGACACGGUCCAGACUCCUACGGGAGGCAGCAGUAGGGAAUCUUCCGCAAUGGGCGAAAGCCUGACGGAGCAACGCCGCGUGAGUGAUGAAGGUCUUCGGAUCGUAAAACUCUGUUAUUAGGGAAGAACAUAUGUGUAAGCAACUGUGCACAUCUUGACGGUACCUAAUCAGAAAGCCACGGCUAACUACGUG
rnacentral:rRNA from 1 species